AUGAACGCUGGCGGCGUGCCUAAUACAUGCAAGUCGAGCGAACGGACGAGAAGCUUGCUUCUCUGAUUUUAGCGGCGGACGGGUGAGUAACACGUGGAUAACCUACCUAUAAGACUGGGAUAACUUCGGGAAACCUGAGCUAAUACCGGAUGAUAUUUUGAACCGCCUGGUUCAAAAGUGUAAGACGGUCUUGCUGUCACUUAUAGAUGGAUCCGCGCUGCAUUAGCUAGUUGGUAAGGUAACGGCUUACCAAGGCAACGAUGCAUAGCCGACCUUAGAGGGUGAUAGGCCACACUGGAACUGAGACACGGUCAAGACUCCUACGGGAGGCAGCAGUAGGGAAUCUUCCGCAAAGGGCGAAAGCCUGACGGAGCAACGCCGCGUGAGUGAUGAAGGUCUUCGGAUCGUAAAACUCUGUUAUUAGGGAAGAACAUAUGUGUAAGUAACUGUGCACAUCUUGACGGUACCUAAUCAGAAAGCCACGGCUAACUACGUG
rnacentral:rRNA from 1 species